rnacentral:rRNA from 1 species
UACGUAGGGGGCUAGCGUUGUCCGGAAUCAUUGGGCGUAAAGCGCGUGUAGGCGGUCCGGUAAGUCCGCUGUGAAAGUCGGGGGCUCAACCCUCGGAUGCCGGUGGAUACUGUCGGGCUUGAGUACGGUAGAGGCGAGUGGAAUUCCUGGUGUAGCGGUGAAAUGCGCAGAUAUCAGGAGGAACACCAAUUGCGAAGGCAGCUCGCUGGGACGUUACUGACGCUGAGACGCGAAAGCGUGGGGAGCAAACAGG